rnacentral:rRNA from 1 species
UACAGAGGGUGCAAGCGUUAAUCGGAAUUACUGGGCGUAAAGCGUGCGUAGACGGUUACAUAAGUCGGGUGUGAAAGCCCCGGGCUCAACCUGGGAAUUGCAUUCGAGACUGAAUAGCUAGGGUGCGGAAGAGGGAAGCGGAAUUUCCGGUGUAGCGGUGAAAUGCGUAGAUAUCUGGAGGAACACCGGUGGCGAAGGCGGCAUCCUGGACCGGCAUUGACGCUGAGGCGCGAAAGCCAGGGGAGCAAACGGG